UAAUACUCCAUAGAUUAGAGACACUGGAAUGUUCUUUAGUCGAAAGUUCUGGCGCCUUAGGAUGGAUCUGCGGUCGAUUAGGUUGUUGUUGGGGUAACGGCCCAACAAGCCUGUAAUCGAUACGGGUUGUGGGAGCAAGAGCCCGGAGAUGGAAUCUGAGACACGAUUCCAGGCCCUACGGGGCGCAGCAGGCGCGAAAACUUUACAAUGCAGGAAACUGUGAUAAGGGAACUCCGAGUGCCCGUAUACGCGGGCUGUCCAGGUGUUUAAAAAUCAUCUGAAGAAAGGGCCGGGCAAGACCGGUGCCAGCCGCCGCGGUAAUACCGGCGGCUCGAGUGGUGGCCACUAUUAUUGGGCUUAAAGCGUCCGUAGCUGGACCGAUAAGUCUCUUGGGAAAUCCGCCGGCUCAACCGGCGGGCGUCUAAGGGAUACUGUUAGUCUAGGGACCGGGAGAGGUGAGAGGUACUCCGGGGGUAGGAGUGAAAUCCUGUAAUCCCCGGGGGACCACCGAUGGCGAAGGCAUCUCACCAGAACGGCUCCGACAGUGAGGGACGAAAGCUGGGGGAGCGAACCGGAUUAGAUACCCGGGUAGUCCCAGCCGUAAACUAUGCGCGUUAGGUGUAC
rnacentral:rRNA from 1 species